rnacentral:rRNA from 1 species
GUAUAGAACCUACCUUAUAUUGGGGGAUAGCCCAGAGAAAUUUGGAUUAAUACCCCAUAGUAUGCUGAAUUGGCAUCAGUUUAGUAUUAAAGAUUUAUCGAUAUAAGAUGGCUAUGCGUUCUAUUAGCUAGUUGGUAAGGUAACGGCUCACCAAGGCGACGAUAGAUAGGGGUCCUGAGAGGGAGAUCCCCCACACUGGUACUGAGACACGGACCAGACUCCUACGGGAGGCAGCAGUGAGGAAUAUUGGACAAUGGAGGCAACUCUGAUCCAGCCAUGCCGCGUGCAGGAAGACUGCCCUAUGGGUUGUAAACUGCUUUUAUAGAGGAAGAAACCGCUCUACGUGUAGAGCUCUGACGGUACUCUACGAAUAAGGAUCGGCUAACUCCGUGCCAGCAGCCGCGGUAAUACGGAGGAUCCAAGCGUUAUCCGGAAUCAUUGGGUUUAAAGGGUCCGUAGCGGGCUUAUAAGUCAGUGGUGAAAGUUUGCGGCUCAACCGUAAAAUUGCCAUUGAUACUGGUUGUCUUGAAUUAUUGUGAAGUGGUUAGAAUAAGUAGUGUAGCGGUGAAAUGCAUAGAUAUUACUUAGAAUACCAAUUGCGAAGCAGAUCACUAACAAUAUAUUGACGCUGAGGGACGAAAGCGUGGGGAGCGAACAGGAUUAGAUACCCUGGUAGUCCACGCCGUAAACGAUGGAUACUAGCUGUUCGAUUUUCGGAUUGAGUGGCUAAGCGAAAGUGAUAAGUAUCCCACCUGGGGAGUACGUUCGCAAGAAUGAAACUCAAAGGAAUUGACGGGGGCCCGCACAAGC